rnacentral:lncRNA from 1 species
AAAUAUAAAGUAGGUCUUGAGUGGUGGUAGAAGCACGAAGGUUCGUCUUCGUGCUCCCAAACUAUUUUCGAUGUUGAAGCUUCUGAAUCAAUAAUUAAUUCUAUUAGACUUGAUUUAUCAUAUUUGAAAUAUAUCUAGAAAAUAAAUUUUAUAAUUUUUUAAUAUUAUUUACUUGAUGAUGGAAAUGGCUCAAAAUCAACAGCUGAAAUUAAAAAUCUUACAAAAAUAGUGAUAUAGCACUAAAGUUUUCGAUCAGAGAUAUUGAUCUUGCUAUAUAUAUUGAAUUUUCUAUCAAAAUUAAUUUGAUUUGAAUACGUACUUCUGCAUCGUUAAACUUGUAAACGGUAUAUACCGACUAUUAAAAAUUGUUGAUUUUGAACUUUUCGAUCGUUAGGUAAAUGAUAUCAAAAAAUUAUAAAAUUUAUUUUCUAAAUAUUUCAAAUAUGCUAUAUCAAGUCUAACGGAGCAGAUUGUCGAUUCAAAAGCUCCAUCAUCGAAAAUGGCUUAGAAGAUUAGAAAUAUUCAAGACGUUUAUGGGG